UACAGAGGUCUCAAGCGUUGUUCGGAUUCAUUGGGCGUAAAGGGUGCGUAGGUGGCGCCGUAAGUCAGGUGUGAAAUUUCGGAGCUUAACUCCGAAACUGCAUUUGAUACUGCGGUGCUUGAGGACUGGAGAGGAGACUGGAAUUCACGGUGUAGCAGUGAAAUGCGUAGAUAUCGUGAGGAAGACCAGUGGCGAAGGCGGGUCUCUGGACAGUUCCUGACGCUGAGGCGCGAAGGCCAGGGGAGCAAACGGG
rnacentral:rRNA from 1 species